rnacentral:tRNA from 1 species
GGUUAGGUGGCCGAGUGGAUGAAGGCGUUGGCCUGCAAAACCAAAUAUUCGUGGGUUCAAAUCCCACCCUAACCU